GAUGAAGAACGCAGCGAAAUGCGAUACGUAAUGUGAAUUGCAAAUUCAGUGAAUCAUCGAGUCUUUGAACGCACAUUGCGCCCCCUGGUAUUCCGGGGGGCAUGCCUGUCCGAGCGUCAUUGCUGCCCUCAAGCACGGCUUGUGUGUUGGGCCCCGUCCUCCGAUCCCGGGGGACGGGCCCGAAAGGCAGCGGCGGCACCGCGUCCGGUCCUCGAGCGUAUGGGGCUUUGUCACCCGCUCCGUAGGCCCGGCCGGCGCUUGCCGAUCAACCCGAAUUUUUAUCCAGGUUGACCUCGGAUCAGGUAGGGAUACCCGCUGAACUUAAGCAUAUCAAUAAGCGGAGGA
rnacentral:misc_RNA from 1 species